rnacentral:rRNA from 1 species
CGCGACCUUCGGUCAGGGGGGGGCUAACCGCUGAGUUUAAGCAU